rnacentral:rRNA from 1 species
ACUCCUACGGGAGGCAGCAGUAGGGGAAUCUUCCGCAAUGGGCGAAAGCCUGACGGAGCAACGCCGCGUGAGUGAAGAAGGUUCGUUCGGAAUCGUAAAACUUCUGUUAUUAGGGAAGAACAAAUGUGUAAGUAACUAUGCACGUCUUGACUGGUACCUAAUCAGAAAGCCACGGCUAACUACGUGCCAGCAGCCGCGGUAAUACGGUAGGUGGCAAGCGUUGAAUCCGGAAUUAUUGGGCGUAAAGCGCGCGUAGGCGGUUUUUUAAGUCUGAUGUGAAAGCCCAGC